GUGCCAGCCGCCGCGGUAAUACCGGCAGCUCAAGUGAUGUCCCAUAUUAUUGGGCCUAAAGCGUCCGUAGCUGGCUGACCAAGUCCAUCGGGAAAUCCACCUGCCCAACAGGUGGGCGUCCGGCGAAAACUGGAUGGCUUGGAACCGGAAGGCUCAGAGGGUACGUCCGGGGUAGGAGUGAAAUCCUGUAAUCCCGGACGGACCACCGAUGGCGAAAGCACUCUGAGAAGACGGAUUCGACAGUGAGGGACGAAAGCUAGGGUCUCGAACCGGAUUAGAUACCCUGUAGUCC
rnacentral:rRNA from 1 species